rnacentral:rRNA from 1 species
CUACGGGAUGCAGCAGUGGGGAAUAUUGGACAAUGGGGGAAACCCUGAUCCAGCAAUGCCGCGUGUGUGAAGAAGGCCUGCGGGUUGUAAAGCACUUUCGGUUGGGAGGACUGCUUCUAGCACUAAUAUUGUUGGAAGUUGACGUUACCUUCAGAAGAAGAACCGGCUAACUCCGUGCCAGCAGCCGCGGUAAUACGGAGGGUGCAAGCGGUAAUCGGAAUUACUGGGCGUAAAGCGCGCGUAGGCGGCUAGAUCAGUCGGGUGUGAAAGCCCCGGGCUUAACCUGGGAACUGCAUCCGAUACUGUCUAGCUUGAGUACAGGAGAGGAGAGUGGAAUUCCACAUGUAGCGGUGAAAUGCGUAGAUAUGUGGAGGAACACCAAUGGCGAAGGCAGCUCUCUGGCCUGAUACUGACGCUGAGGUGCGAAAGCGUGGGGAGCAAACAGGAUUAGAUACCCUUGUAGUC